rnacentral:lncRNA from 1 species
GAAUUCUAUAAACUUAUGUCUCAUGUUCUUCCCUAUUAAUAGAUCUGGGAAUUUUUGCUGGAAGCCAAGUGAUGACAUGUCGAGGGGAAUACUUCAUCGUGAUUUGAUUAGCAUACAUGCCAGUCCUUCAUUCCAACAGGCAGCUGCAGCUAAUUAUGUGCUUCACUUUAGGCUGGGAAAUAAUAUCCAGAUCAGAACACAUUUGUGGUAA